CAGCAGCCGCGGGAAUACGAAGGGGGCUAGCGUUGUUCGGAUUUACUGGGCGUAAAGCGCACGUAGGCGGACUUUUAAGUCAGGGGUGAAAUCCCGGGGCUCAACCCCGGAACUGCCUUUGAUACUGGAAGUCUUGAGUAUGGUAGAGGUGAGUGGAAUUCCGAGUGUAGAGGUGAAAUUCGUAGAUAUUCGGAGGAACACCAGUGGCGAAGGCGGCUCACUGGACCAUUACUGACGCUGAGGUGCGAAAGCGUGGGGAGCAAACAGGAUUAGAUACCCCUGUAGUCCCUGUCUCUUAUAC
rnacentral:rRNA from 1 species